GAUGAAGAACGUAGCGAAAUGCGAUAAGUAGUGUGAAUUGCAGAAUUCAGUGAAUCAUCGAAUCUUUGAACGCACAUUGCGCCUCCUGGUAUUCCGGGAGGCAUGCCUGUUCGAGCGUCAUUAAAAUCACUCAAGCUCAGCUUGGUGUUGGGGCCUGCUGCACUGGCAGCCCUUAAAAUCAGUGGCGGCGCCAUCUGGCUCUAAGCGUAGUAAUUCUUCUCGCUAUGGAGUCCUGGUGGAUGCUUGCCAUCAACCCCCAAUUUUUCUAUGGUUGACCUCGGAUCAGGUAGGGAUACCCGCUGAACUUAAGCAUAUCAAUAAGCGGAGGA
rnacentral:misc_RNA from 1 species